rnacentral:rRNA from 1 species
UACGAAGGGGGCUAGCGUUGCUCGGAAUCACUGGGCGUAAAGCGCACGUAGGCGGAUCUUUAAGUCAGAGGUGAAAUCCCGGAGCUCAACUCCGGAACUGCCUUUGAUACUGAGGACCUUGAGUCCGGGAGAGGUGAGUGGAACUGCGAGUGUAGAGGUGAAAUUCGUAGAUAUUCGCAAGAACACCAGUGGCGAAGGCGGCUCACUGGCCCGGUACUGACGCUGAGGUGCGAAAGCGUGGGGAGCAAACAGG